GGCUCUUUCAGAGUCCGAGUUGUAAUUUGAAGAAGGUAUCUUUGGGUCUGGCUCUUGUCUAUGUUUCUUGGAACAGAACGUCACAGAGGGUGAGAAUCCCGUGCGAUGAGAUGAUCCAGGCCUAUGUAAAGUUCCUUCGAAGAGUCGAGUUGUUUGGGAAUGCAGCUCUAAGUGGGUGGUAAAUUCCAUCUAAAGCUAAAUAUUGGCGAGAGACCGAUAGCGAACAAGUACAGUGAUGGAAAGAUGAAAAGAACUUUGAAAAGAGAGUGAAAAAGUACGUGAAAUUGUUGAAAGGGAAGGGCUUGAGAUCAGACUUGGUAUUUUGUAUGUUACUUCUUCGGGGGUGGCCUCUACAGUUUAUCGGGCCAGCAUCAGUUUGGGCGGUAGGAGAAUUGCGUUGGAAUGUGGCACGGCUUCGGUUGUGUGUUAUAGCCUUCGUCGAUACUGCCAGCCUAGACUGAGGAC
rnacentral:rRNA from 1 species